GACGUAGGGCGCGAGCGUUGUCCGGAUUUAUUGGGCGUAAAGAGCUCGUAGGCGGCUCGUUGCGUCGGCUGUGAAAACCGGCAGCUCAACUGUGGGCUUGCAGCCGAUACGGGCGGGCUUGAGUUCGGUAGGGGAGACUGGAAUUCCUGGUGCAGCGGUGAAAUGCGCAGAUAUCAGGAGGAACACCGGUGGCGAAGGCGGGUCUCUGGGCCGAUACUGACGCUGAGGAGCGAAAGCGUGGGGAGCGAACAGG
rnacentral:rRNA from 1 species